rnacentral:rRNA from 1 species
CUCGUGUCGUGAGAUGUUGGGUUAAGUCCGUAACGAGCGCAACCCUUGUCCUUAGUUACCAGCACGUUAUGGUGGGCACUCUAAGGAGACUGCCGGUGACAAACCGGAGGAAGGUGGGGAUGACGUCAAGUCAUCAUGGCCCUUACGGCCUGGGCUACACACGUGCUACAAUGGUCGGUACAAAGGGUUGCCAAGCCGCGAGGUGGAGCUAAUCCCAUAAAACCGAUCGUAGUCCGGAUCGCAGUCUGCAACUCGACUGCGUGAAGUCGGAAUCGCUAGUAAUCGUGAAUCAGAAUGUCACGGUGAAUACGUUCCCGGGCCUU